rnacentral:rRNA from 1 species
UGUGAGCUCGAUGAGUAGGGCGGGACACGUGGUAUCCUGUCUGAAUAUGGGGGGACCAUCCUCCAAGGCUAAAUACUCCUGACUGACCGAUAGUGAACCAGUACCGUGAGGGAAAGGCGAAAAGAACCCCGGCGAGGGGAGUGAAAAAGAACCUGAAACCGUGUACGUACAAGCAGUGGGAGCCUCUUAAUGGGGUGACUGCGUACCUUUUGUAUAAUGGGUCAGCGACUUAUAUUCUGUAGCAAGGUUAACCGAAUAGGGGAGCCGAAGGGAAACCGAGUCUUAACUGGGCGUUAAGUUGCAGGGUAUAGACCCGAAACCCGGUGAUCUAGCCAUGGGCAGGUUGAAGGUUGGGUAACACUAACUGGAGGACCGAACCGACUAAUGUUGAAAAAUUAGCGGAUGACUUGUGGCUGGGGGUGAAAGGCCAAUCAAACCGGGAGAUAGCUGGUUCUCCCCGAAAGCUAUUUAGGUAGCGCCUCGUGAAUUCAUCUCCGGGGGUAGAGCACUGUUUCGGCAAGGGGGUCAUCCCGACUUACCAACCCGAUGCAAACUGCGAAUACCGGAGAAUGUUAUCACGGGAGACACACGGCGGGUGCUAACGUCCGUCGUGAAGAGGGAAACAACCCAGACCGCCAGCUAAGGUCCCAAAGUCAUGGUUAAGUGGGAAACGAUGUGGGAAGGCCCAGACAGCCAGGAUGUUGGCUUAGAAGCAGCCAUCAUUUAAAGAAAGCGUAAUAGCUCACUGGUCGAGUCGGCCUGCGCGGAAGAUGUAACGGGGCUAAACCAUGCACCGAAGCUGCGGCAGCGACACUAUGUGUUGUUGGGUAGGGGAGCGUUCUGUAAGCCUGUGAAGGUGUACUGUGAGGUAUGCUGGAGGUAUCAGAAGUGCGAAUGCUGACAUAAGUAACGAUAAAGCGGGUGAAAAGCCCGCUCGCCGGAAGACCAAGGGUUCCUGUCCAACGUUAAUCGGGGCAGGGUGAGUCGACCCCUAAGGCGAGGCCGAAAGGCGUAGUCGAUGGGAAACAGGUUAAUAUUCCUGUACUUGGUGUUACUGCGAAGGGGGGACGGAGAAGGCUAUGUUGGCCGGGCGACGGUUGUCCCGGUUUAAGCGUGUAGGCUGGUUUUCCAGGCAAAUCCGGAAAAUCAAGGCUGAGGCGUGAUGACGAGGCACUACGGUGCUGAAGCGACAAAUGCCCUGCUUCCAGGAAAAGCCUCUAAGCAUCAGGUAACAUCAAAUCGUACCCCAAACCGACACAGGUGGUCAGGUAGAGAAUACCAAGGCGCUUGAGAGAACUCGGGUGAAGGAACUAGGCAAAAUGGUGCCGUAACUUCGGGAGAAGGCACGCUGAUAUGUAGGUGAAGCGACUUGCUCGUGGAGCUGAAAUCAGUCGAAGAUACCAGCUGGCUGCAACUGUUUAUUAAAAACACAGCACUGUGCAAACACGAAAGUGGACGUAUACGGUGUGACGCCUGCCCGGUGCCGGAAGGUUAAUUGAUGGGGUUAGCGGUAACGCGAAGCUCUUGAUCGAAGCCCCGGUAAACGGCGGCCGUAACUAUAACGGUCCUAAGGUAGCGAAAUUCCUUGUCGGGUAAGUUCCGACCUGCACGAAUGGCGUAAUGAUGGCCAGGCUGUCUCCACCCGAGACUCAGUGAAAUUGAACUCGCUGUGAAGAUGCAGUGUACCCGCGGCAAGACGGAAAGACCCCGUGAACCUUUACUAUAGCUUGACACUGAACAUUGAGCCUUGAUGUGUAGGAUAGGUGGGAGGCUUUGAAGUGUGGACGCCAGUCUGCAUGGAGCCGACCUUGAAAUACCACCCUUUAAUGUUUGAUGUUCUAACGUGGGCCCCUUACCGGGGUUGCGGACAGUGUCUGGUGGGUAGUUUGACUGGGGCGGUCUCCUCCUAAAGAGUAACGGAGGAGCACGAAGGUUGGCUAAUCCUGGUCGGACAUCAGGAGGUUAGUGCAAUGGCAUAAGCCAGCUUGACUGCGAGCGUGACGGCGCGAGCAGGUGCGAAAGCAGGUCAUAGUGAUCCGGUGGUUCUGAAUGGAAGGGCCAUCGCUCAACGGAUAAAAGGUACUCCGGGGAUAACAGGCUGAUACCGCCCAAGAGUUCAUAUCGACGGCGGUGUUUGGCACCUCGAUGUCGGCUCAUCACAUCCUGGGGCUGAAGUAGGUCCCAAGGGUAUGGCUGUUCGCCAUUUAAAGUGGUACGCGAGCUGGGUUUAGAACGUCGUGAGACAGUUCGGUCCCUAUCUGCCGUGGGCGCUGGAGAACUGAGGGGGGCUGCUCCUAGUACGAGAGGACCGGAGUGGACGCAUCACUGGUGUUCGGGUUGUCAUGCCAAUGGCACUGCCCGGUAGCUAAAUGCGGAAGAGAUAAGUGCUGAAAGCAUCUAAGCACGAAACUUGCCCCGAGAUGAGUUCUCCCUGACUCCUUGAGAGUCCUGAAGGAACGUUGAAGACGACGACGUUGAUAGGCCGGGUGUGUAAGCGCAGCGAUGCGUUGAGCUAACCGGUACUAAUGAACCGUGAGGCUUAACCUU